rnacentral:rRNA from 1 species
UAGGGAAUCUUGCACAAUGGGCGAAAGCCUGAUGCAGCCAUGCCGCGUGAGUGAUGAAGGCCUUAGGGUUGUAAAGCUCUUUCACCGGUGACGAUAAUGACGGUAGCCGGAGAAGAAGCCCCGGCUAACUUCGUGCCAGCAGCCGCGGUAAUACGAAGGGGGCUAGCGUUGUUCGGAAUUACUGGGCGUAAAGCGCGCGUAGGCGGAUGAUUAAGUUAGAGGUGAAAGCCCAGAGCUCAACUCUGGAAUUGCCUUUAAUACUGGUCAUCUUGAGAGUGGAAGAGGAGAGUGGAAUUCCUAGUGUAGAGGUGAAAUUCGUAGAUAUUAGGAAGAACACCCGUGGCGAAGGCGGCUCUCUGGUCCAUAUCUGACGCUGAGGUGCGAAAGCGUGGGGAGCAAACAGGAUUAGAUACCCCGGUAGUCC